rnacentral:rRNA from 1 species
AGUGGCGGACGGGUGAGUAACACGUAAGAAUUUGCCUUUAGGAGGGGGAUAACAACUGGAAACGGUUGCUAAUACCCCAUACGCUUUCGAGUGAAAUGGAUUUCCGCCUAAAGAGAAGCUUGCGGCUGAUUAGCUUGUUGGUAGGGUAAUGGCCUACCAAGGCGACGAUCAGUAUCUGGUUUGAGAGGACGAUCAGACACACUGGAACUGAGACACGGUCCAGACUCCUGCGGGAGGCAGCAGUAGGGAAUUUUCCGCAAUGGGCGAAAGCCUGACGGAGCAAUACCGCGUGAGGGAUGACUGCCUAUGGGUUGUAAACCUCUUUUUUCAGGGAGGAACAAAAUGACGUGUACCUGAAGAAUAAGCAUCGGCUAACUCCGUGCCAGCAGCCGCGGUAAGACGGAGGAUGCAAGUGUUAUCCGGAAUUACUGGGCGCAAAGCGUCUGUAGGUGGCUCGAUAAGUCAACUGUUAAAUCUUGAAGCUCAACUUCAAAAUCGCAGUCGAAACUAUCGGACUAGAGUAUAGUAGAGGUAAAGGGAAUUUCCAGUGGAGCGGUGAAAUGCGUGGAUAUUGGAAAGAACACCGAUGGCGAAAGCACUUUACUGGGCUAUUACUGACACUCAGAGACGAAAGCUAGGGUAGCAAAUGGGAUUAGAUACCCCAGUAGUCCUAGCCGUAAACAAUGGAUACUAGGUGUUG